rfam:Haemonchus contortus, ISE/inbred ISE, WGS project CAVP01000000 data, contig: Hcontortus_25749
GGCACAAACUUGAAGUAGAGUAGAUUAGUAGGGUCAGGUGAUCCUUCUAAUCUACUUAACUUCAAAUUUGGGCUC